UUGAGAGUGAGGGGUGGUCGUCACAUCCCGGACGAGCCCCCAAAUGUUAGGUCCUGAGUGCGAACGCCACCCCGCAUUCACUCACAAGAGACGGUUCUUGAUGCAAACAGCAAGA
ensembl:miRNA